GCGGCGGACGGGUGAGUAAUGCCUAGGAAUCUGCCUGGUAGUGGGGGAUAACGUUCCGAAAGGAACGCUAAUACCGCAUACGUCCUACGGGAGAAAGCAGGGGACCUUCGGGCCUUGCGCUAUCAGAUGAGCCUAGGUCGGAUUAGCUAGUUGGUGAGGUAAUGGCUCACCAAGGCGACGAUCCGUAACUGGUCUGAGAGGAUGAUCAGUCACACUGGAACUGAGACACGGUCCAGACUCCUACGGGAGGCAGCAGUGGGGAAUAUUGGACAAUGGGCGAAAGCCUGAUCCAGCCAUGCCGCGUGUGUGAAGAAGGUCUUCGGAUUGUAAAGCACUUUAAGUUGGGAGGAAGGGCAGUAAGUUAAUACCUUGCUGUUUUGACGUUACCGACAGAAUAAGCACCGGCUAACUUCGUGCCAGCAGCCGCGGUAAUACGAAGGGUGCAAGCGUUAAUCGGAAUUACUGGGCGUAAAGCGCGCGUAGGUGGUUCGUUAAGUUGGAUGUGAAAGCCCCGGGCUCAACCUGGGAACUGCAUCCAAAACUGGCGAGCUAGAGUACGGUAGAGGGUGGUGGAAUUUCCUGUGUAGCGGUGAAAUGCGUAGAUAUAGGAAGGAACACCAGUGGCGAAGGCGACCACCUGGACUGAUACUGACACUGAGGUGCGAAAGCGUGGGGAGCAAACAGGA
rnacentral:rRNA from 1 species